UACGUAGGGGGGCAAGCGUUGUCCGGAUUUAUUGGGCGUAAAGAGCGUGUAGGCGGCCAGGUAGGUGGGUUGUGAAAACUGGAGGCUCAACCUUCAGACGUCGACCCAAACCCCCUGGCUAGAGUCCGGAAGAGGAGAGUGGGAAUUCCUGGUGUAGCGGUGAAAUGCGCAGAUAUCAGGAAGAACACCCGUGGCGAAGGCGGCUCUCUGGGCAUUACCUGACGCUGAGGAGCGAAAGUGUGGGGAGCGAACAGG
rnacentral:rRNA from 1 species